rnacentral:rRNA from 1 species
UACGUAGGGUGCGAGCGUUAAUCGGAAUUACUGGGCGUAAAGCGUGCGCAGGCGGCUUUGCAAGACAGAUGUGAAAUCCCCGGGCUCAACCUGGGAACUGCAUUUGUGACUGCAAGGCUAGAGUACGGCAGAGGGGGAUGGAAUUUCGGGUGUAGCAGUGAAAUGCGUAGAUAUGCGGAGGAACACCAAUGGCGAAGGCAAUCCCCUGGGCCUGUACUGACGCUCAUGCACGAAAGCGUGGGGAGCAAACAGG